AACCAUUGAUGAAUAAUUCUGCCAUAUGAACUUUGCUGAUUCUACCCCAACCGUUCAAUUCUAUCUGAGGUU